GAUGAAGAACGCAGCGAAAUGCGAUAAGUAGUGUGAAUUGCAGAAUUCAGUGAAUCAUCGAAUCUUUGAACGCACAUUGCGCCCGCUAGUAUUCUGGCGGGCAUGCCUGUCCGAGCGUCAUUUCAACCCUCAAGCCCCCGGGCUUGGUGUUGGGGAUCGGCGAGCCUCCGCGCCCGCCGUCCCCUAAAUCUAGUGGCGGUCUCGCUGUAGCUUCCUCUGCGUAGUAGCACACCUCGCACUGGGAAACAGCGCGGCCACGCCGUUAAACCCCCAACUUCUGAACGUUUGACCUCGGAUCAGGUAGGAAUACCCGCUGAACUUAAGCAUAUCAAUAAGCGGAGGA
rnacentral:misc_RNA from 1 species